UAGCUAAUGUAACUUGAUUGCUGAAGUACCCCAAUUGUCAAUAGUGUAACGAAAUGGUUAUAGUUGUAACCUAACUAGAAACUUAAGCAAGAUUCGAGAAUCCUAAGCCCUAGUAUCCCUAUUCAUAGGUAGUAAUCCAAAAAGAAUAGUAAGUUGGGCCCCACCACCCUCCAUAUCAUCCAUCCCCCCUCUAUAAAUUGAUGGGUAGCUGAAAAUACUCUUAUUCAACCACUACCCCAGUUCUAAAUCUAAAUUCUCUGUUGUUAUAAAAAAAAACAACCCCCACUUUUCCAUUAAAAAAAAAUAGAAAAACCAACCCUCAUGGCAUACCCACUUGGUUUUUAUGAGAAAGAAGUAACAGAGGCUUUCCACUGUUUUGACCACAACCACAACACACAACACACAGCCAGAGAUCGAUUUCAACAACUACAUUUACUUCUAUAGUAACACUGGCCGUCUUACCACUAAGGUCGUUGAUCACGAGACCCUGAGAGACAUUUUAGCAAAACUUGAGGAGAGACAGGGCCUCCUCGACAAGCUGAUGAUGGUUGAAGAGUACGGUAUUGUCUACCCUGCUCACUUUCCCAAUGUUGCUGAUGUCAUAGCGUUGCCGACGGUGCAGGCUGCCAUACGGGAGUUAGAAGAGGGGCCUGUUGAGUACGAAGGGGUUACUCCUUUUGUUCCCAAAUUGAUUAACCCCUUAAUUGAUCCCAAGCCUGUCCUUGCUCGUGCUGGGCCCAUUUAUUCGAUUCGAAACGAAGCCAUCGACUGCAACUUUGGGUGCUACUCGGAUGAGAUAUUGUUCUUCCAGGUAAAUACUUUGUGCUUUGUGUACUUGGAAGUGUGUAUAUUUAUAAGUUUAUCGAGGAAGAUCCAUCUAGUCGAUACCAAUUUGAACUUCACGGUCUUCCGGGACAAGUUUAUCGAGGAAGAUCCAUCUAGUCGAUACCAGUCAGUGAAGCUGGUUCCCUAAGUUGGAGAAGGGGAUGUCAAAUUGGAGGUGGGAGCAAGUGCUGUGCUGUGGAAUGGCGGCCAUAUCACAAGGCCUUCUUUUGGACCGCAUUUUGAUGAAGUUAUCAAAACACACAAGCCAAUCUUGAUGAUUAUUACUGAGGUGGGGGCACAAUCAACUAACUGUGAGAGGGUGCUCAAAGGACUCAACACAUCCAUGGCUUGGAAGGUUGAUGAUGGUAAGGGAGCAACUGGAGGAUGUGUCGUGCUGUGGGAUCCAUGUAAGGUUCAGAGUGAAGUUAUUGUGGCUGAUAAGAUCUACAAGAUUGAUCUUCGCAUAGUAGGAUCUGUGUGUGGUGUGGGGAUGAAUUAAGGACCGAGUAAUCUGAAGUUAAAUGUAAGGUGCUUCUGUUGUGUUCCAUAGGUUGCUGUCUGUUCCAGAGGAAGAUGUUUCCUACUAUGUACUAGAUUAUGUACUUUGUUUAGGGUGUUAUGUACUAGAAUUCCGAUUUGUGUCUUCUAUUAGUGUGUGUUUAGGGUAUGAAUUAUUGUAUUAAACUCUGUUAUGUGGGUUAGACUCUUAACUAUUGGGUGGUAUGUGCUUUUAUUA